CCUACGGGAGGCUGCAGUAGGGAAUUUUCGGCAAUGGGGGGAACCCUGACCGAGCAACGCCGCGUGAACGAAGAAGUUAUUCGUAAUGUAAAGUUCUUUUAACAGGGAAGAAAGAGAAAUUUGACGGUACCUGAAGAAUAAGCUCCGGCUAACUACGUGCCAGCGGCCGCGGUAAUACGUAGGGAGCGAGCGUUAUCGGGAAUUAUUGGGCGUAAAGGAUGCGUAGAUGGCAUAGUAGGUCUUGUGUAAAAAUGCUGGGCUCAAGCGAGUAGGGCAAAAGAUACUGCAAAGCUAGAGUAUGACAGAGGCGAGUGGAACUACAGGUGUAGCAGUAAAAUGCGUAAAUAUAUGUAGGAACACCAGUGGCGAAGGCGGCUAGCUGGGUCGAUACUGACAUUGAGGCACGAAAGCGUGGGGAGCAAACAGGAUUAGAUACCCGGGUAGUC
rnacentral:rRNA from 1 species